rnacentral:rRNA from 1 species
GGUUAAGCGACUAAGCGUACACGGUGGAUGCCCUGGCAGUCAGAGGCGAUGAAGGACGUGCUAAUCUGCGAAAAGCGCCGGCGAGGUGAUAUGAACCCUUGACCCGGCGAUGUCCGAAUGGGGAAACCCAGUGUGUUUCGACACACUAUCGUUAACUGAAUACAUAGGUUAACGAGGCGAACCGGGGGAACUGAAACAUCUAAGUACCCCGAGGAAAAGAAAUCAACCGAGAUUCCCCCAGUAGCGGCGAGCGAACGGGGAGCAGCCCGGAGUCUGAAUCAGCUUGUGUGUUAGUGGAACGGUCUGGAAAGUCCGACGGUACAGGGUGAUAGUCCCGUACACGAAAAUGCACAGGUUGUGAACUCGAAGAGUAGGGCGGGACACGUGGUAUCCUGUCUGAAUAUGGGGGGACCAUCCUCCAAGGCUAAAUACUCCUGACUGACCGAUAGUGAACCAGUACCGUGAGGGAAAGGCGAAAAGAACCCCGGCGAGGGGAGUGAAAAAGAACCUGAAACCGUGUACGUACAAGCAGUGGGAGCACCUUCGGGUGUGACUGCGUACCUUUUGUAUAAUGGGUCAGCGACUUAUAUUCUGUAGCAAGGUUAACCGUAUAGGGGAGCCGAAGGGAAACCGAGUCUUAACUGGGCGUUAAGUUGCAGGGUAUAGACCCGAAACCCGGUGAUCUAGCCAUGGGCAGGUUGAAGGUUGGGUAACACUAACUGGAGGACCGAACCGACUAAUGUUGAAAAAUUAGCGGAUGACCUGUGGCUGGGGGUGAAAGGCCAAUCAAACCGGGAGAUAGCUGGUUCUCCCCGAAAGCUAUUUAGGUAGCGCCUCGUGAACUCAUCUUCGGGGGUAGAGCACUGUUUCGGCUAGGGGGCCAUCCCGGCUUACCAACCCGAUGCAAACUACGAAUACCGAAGAAUGUUAUCACGGGAGACACACGGCGGGUGCUAACGUCCGUCGUGAAGAGGGAAACAACCCAGACCGCCAGCUAAGGUCCCAAAGUCAUGGUUAAGUGGGAAACGAUGUGGGAAGGCACAGACAGCCAGGAUGUUGGCUUAGAAGCAGCCAUCAUUUAAAGAAAGCGUAAUAGCUCACUGGUCGAGUCGGCCUGCGCGGAAGAUGUAACGGGGCUAAACCAUGCACCGAAGCUGCGGCAGCGACGCUUAUGCGUUGUUGGGUAGGGGAGCGUUCUGUAAGCCGUUGAAGGUGUGCUGUGAGGCAUGCUGGAGGUAUCAGAAGUGCGAAUGCUGACAUAAGUAACGAUAAAGCGGGUGAAAAGCCCGCUCGCCGGAAGACCAAGGGUUCCUGUCCAACGUUAAUCGGGGCAGGGUGAGUCGACCCCUAAGGCGAGGCCGAAAGGCGUAGUCGAUGGGAAACAGGUUAAUAUUCCUGUACUUGGUGUUACUGCGAAGGGGGGACGGAGAAGGCUAUGUCAGCCGGGCGACGGUUGUCCCGGUUUAAGCAUGUAGGCGGAGGUUCCAGGUAAAUCCGGUACCUUAUUAACGCUGAGGUGUGAUGACGAGGCACUACGGUGCUGAAGUGAUAAAUGCCCUGCUUCCAGGAAAAGCCUCUAAGCAUCAGGUAACACGAAAUCGUACCCCAAACCGACACAGGUGGUCAGGUAGAGAAUACCAAGGCGCUUGAGAGAACUCGGGUGAAGGAACUAGGCAAAAUGGUGCCGUAACUUCGGGAGAAGGCACGCUGAUAUGUAGGUGAAGCCCCUGCGGGCGGAGCUGAAAUCAGUCGAAGAUACCAGCUGGCUGCAACUGUUUAUUAAAAACACAGCACUGUGCAAACACGAAAGUGGACGUAUACGGUGUGACGCCUGCCCGGUGCCGGAAGGUUAAUUGAUGGGGUUAGCGGCAACGCGAAGCUCUUGAUCGAAGCCCCGGUAAACGGCGGCCGUAACUAUAACGGUCCUAAGGUAGCGAAAUUCCUUGUCGGGUAAGUUCCGACCUGCACGAAUGGCGUAAUGAUGGCCAGGCUGUCUCCACCCGAGACUCAGUGAAAUUGAACUCGCUGUGAAGAUGCAGUGUACCCGCGGCAAGACGGAAAGACCCCGUGAACCUUUACUAUAGCUUGACACUGAACACUGGUCCUUGAUGUGUAGGAUAGGUGGGAGGCUUUGAAGCGUGGACGCCAGUCUGCGUGGAGCCGCCCUUGAAAUACCACCCUUUAAUGGCUGGUGUUCUAACGUAGACCCGUGAUCCGGGUUGCGGACAGUGUCUGGUGGGUAGUUUGACUGGGGCGGUCUCCUCCCAAAGAGUAACGGAGGAGCACGAAGGUUGGCUAAUCCUGGUCGGACAUCAGGAGGUUAGUGCAAUGGCAUAAGCCAGCUUGACUGCGAGCGUGACGGCGCGAGCAGGUGCGAAAGCAGGUCAUAGUGAUCCGGUGGUUCUGAAUGGAAGGGCCAUCGCUCAACGGAUAAAAGGUACUCCGGGGAUAACAGGCUGAUACCGCCCAAGAGUUCAUAUCGACGGCGGUGUUUGGCACCUCGAUGUCGGCUCAUCACAUCCUGGGGCUGAAGUAGGUCCCAAGGGUAUGGCUGUUCGCCAUUUAAAGUGGUACGCGAGCUGGGUUUAGAACGUCGUGAGACAGUUCGGUCCCUAUCUGCCGUGGGCGCUGGAGAAUUGAGGGGGGCUGCUCCUAGUACGAGAGGACCGGAGUGGACGCAUCACUGGUGUUCGGGUUGUCAUGCCAAUGGCACUGCCCGGUAGCUAAAUGCGGAAGAGAUAAGUGCUGAAAGCAUCUAAGCACGAAACUUGCCCCGAGAUGAGUUCUCCCUGAGACUUUAAGUCUCCUGAAGGAACGUUGAAGACGACGACGUUGAUAGGUCGGGUGUGUAAGCGCAGCGAUGCGUUGAGCUAACCGAUACUAAUGAACCGUGAGGCUUAACCUU